UUUAUUGGAGAGUUUGAUCCUGGCUCAGGAUGAACGCUGGCGGCGUGCCUAAUACAUGCAAGUCGAGCGAAUGGAUUAAGAGCUUGCUCUUAUGAAGUUAGCGGCGGACGGGUGAGUAACACGUGGGUAACCUGCCCAUAAGACUGGGAUAACUCCGGGAAACCGGGGCUAAUACCGGAUAACAUUUUGAACCGCAUGGUUCGAAAUUGAAAGGCGGCUUCGGCUGUCACUUAUGGAUGGACCCGCGUCGCAUUAGCUAGUUGGUGAGGUAACGGCUCACCAAGGCAACGAUGCGUAGCCGACCUGAGAGGGUGAUCGGCCACACUGGGACUGAGACACGGCCCAGACUCCUACGGGAGGCAGCAGUAGGGAAUCUUCCGCAAUGGACGAAAGUCUGACGGAGCAACGC
rnacentral:rRNA from 1 species